GCCUGGCUGGCUCAGUGGGAGGAGCAUGUGACUCUUGAUCUCAGGGUCAUGGGUUUGAGCCCCACAUUGGGUA
rnacentral:tRNA from 1 species